AGAGUUUGAUCCUGGCUCAGGAUGAACGCUGGCGGCGUGCCUAAUACAUGCAAGUCGAGCGAACGGACGAGAAGCUUGCUUCUCUGAUGUUAGCGGCGGACGGGUGAGUAACACGUGGAUAACCUACCUAUAAGACUGGGAUAACUUCGGGAAACCGGAGCUAAUACCGGAUAAUAUUUUGAACCGCAUGGUUCAAAAGUGAAAGACGGUCUUGCUGUCACUUAUAGAUGGAUCCGCGCUGCAUUAGCUAGUUGGUAAGGUAACGGCUUACCAAGGCAACGAUGCAUAGCCGACCUGAGAGGGUGAUCGGCCACACUGGAACUGAGACACGGUCCAGACUCCUACGGGAGGCAGCAGUAGGGAAUCUUCCGCAAUGGGCGAAAGCCUGACGGAGCAACGCCGCGUGAGUGAUGAAGGUCUUCGGAUCGUAAAACUCUGUUAUUAGGGAAGAACAUAUGUGUAAGUAACUGUGCACAUCUUGACGGUACCUAAUCAGAAAGCCACGGCUAACUACGUGCCAGCAGCCGCGGUAAUACGUAGGUGGCAAGCGUUAUCCGGAAUUAUUGGGCGUAAAGCGCGCGUAGGCGGUUUUUUAAGUCUGAUGUGAAAGCCCACGGCUCAACCGUGGAGGGUCAUUGGAAACUGGAAAACUUGAGUGCAGAAGAGGAAAGUGGAAUUCCAUGUGUAGCGGUGAAAUGCGCAGAGAUAUGGAGGAACACCAGUGGCGAAGGCGACUUUCUGGUCUGUAACUGACGCUGAUGUGCGAAAGCGUGGGGAUCAAACAGGAUUAGAUACCCUGGUAGUCCACGCCGUAAACGAUGAGUGCUAAGUGUUAGGGGGUUUCCGCCCCUUAGUGCUGCAGCUAACGCAUUAAGCACUCCGCCUGGGGAGUACGACCGCAAGGUUGAAACUCAAAGGAAUUGACGGGGACCCGCACAAGCGGUGGAGCAUGUGGUUUAAUUCGAAGCAACGCGAAGAACCUUACCAAAUCUUGACAUCCUUUGACAACUCUAGAGAUAGAGCCUUCCCCUUCGGGGGACAAAGUGACAGGUGGUGCAUGGUUGUCGUCAGCUCGUGUCGUGAGAUGUUGGGUUAAGUCCCGCAACGAGCGCAACCCUUAAGCUUAGUUGCCAUCAUUAAGUUGGGCACUCUAAGUUGACUGCCGGUGACAAACCGGAGGAAGGUGGGGAUGACGUCAAAUCAUCAUGCCCCUUAUGAUUUGGGCUACACACGUGCUACAAUGGACAAUACAAAGGGCAGCGAAACCGCGAGGUCANNNNNNNNNNNNNNNNAGCUUAGUUGCCAUCAUUAAGUUGGGCACUCUAAGUUGACUGCCGGUGACAAACCGGAGGAAGGUGGGGAUGACGUCAAAUCAUCAUGCCCCUUAUGAUUUGGGCUACACACGUGCUACAAUGGACAAUACAAAGGGCAGCGAAACCGCGAGGUCAAGCAAAUCCCAUAAAGUUGUUCUCAGUUCGGAUUGUAGUCUGCAACUCGACUACAUGAAGCUGGAAUCGCUAGUAAUCGUAGAUCAGCAUGCUACGGUGAAUACGUUCCCGGGUCUUGUACACACCGCCCGUCACACCACGAGAGUUUGUAACACCCGAAGCCGGUGGAGUAACCUUUUAGGAGCUAGCCGUCGAAGGUGGGACAAAUGAUUGGGGUGAAGUCGUAACAAGGUAGCCGUAUCGGAAGGUGCGGCUGGAUCACCU
rnacentral:rRNA from 1 species